UACGUAGGGAGCGAGCGUUGUUCGGAGUUACUGGGCGUAAAGAGUGCGUAGGCGGUUUUCUAAGUUUGGUGUGAAAUCUCCCGGCUUAACUGGGAGGGUGCGCCGAAGACUGGAAGGCUUGAGUAUGGGAGAGGUAAGCGGAAUUCCUGGUGUAGCGGUGAAAUGCGUAGAUAUCAGGAGGAACACCUGCGGUGUAGACGGCUUACUGGACCAUAACUGACGCUGAGGCGCGAAAGCGUGGGUAUCAAACAGG
rnacentral:rRNA from 1 species